rnacentral:rRNA from 1 species
GGAAUAUUGCGCAAUGGGCGAAAGCCUGACGCAGCCACGACGCGUGAGUGAUGAAGGCCUUCGGGUUGUAAAGCUCUGUCGGGAGGGACGAAAGGAGAAAUCCUUGACGGUACCUCGCAAGAAAGCACAGGCUAACUCUGUGCCAGCAUCCGCGGGAAUACAGAGGGUGCAAGCGUUGCUCGGAUUUACUGGGCGUAAAGCGUACGCAGACGGUGGGAAAGGUCGGAUGUGAAAGCGCCGGGCUCAACCCGGGAACUGUAUCCGAAACCAUCUCGCUAGAGUAUGGGAGAGGGAAGCGGAAUUCCUGGUGUAGAGGUGAAAUUCGUAGAUAUCAGGAGGAACACCUGCGGCGAAGGCGGCUUCCUGGCCCAUUACUGACGUUCAGGUACGAAAGCGUGGGUAGCAAAC